AUAGUAAAUAGAUAUUAGUUUUUGGUGAUUUGUUCAACUAUGAAUUUGUAUUUUGUACCUGCUUUUCAAGAGUGUAGAAAAAUGCAUGCGUCUAUUGAAUUUAAUUUAUAUACCUUAAUGUAAAAACAUUAUGACCACUUUAUCAAUGUCAGAUAUUAUGAUUUUGUGAAAUAAAUUUGCACAGCCUAUUAUCAGGGCAAUAAAAAAAAACUAUAAAAAAUAGGCAGCUAAAUAAAGCAGGUAUCAGUUUUUAAUGUCUUUUAAUUUGGCCAAUAAAAGCAGUUAGUGAGUGUCCAAGAACAAGGAACCUAUCACAACUUGAAAUUGAUCAAAUCAUAUCAGUUAGUGAUAAAAGGAUACAAUUUGUUUAACCUUGUAUAUUUUUCGUAAUCAGAUGGAAAACAUUAAUCAGUUAUAUUGUAAACGGUAAUUUACCCUGAAUUAUCCCAGAAAAUAAGACUGAAAACUGGAAAGCAUGCCUGGUAUCUUGCCUCACUGCUUUAGAUUAAUCCUGUCAGAAUACAAUUCCUGUGGAUUCAUUAUAAUUCCUUGGAUACCAAUUUUUAUUGGAGCCUAGGAUCCACAAAUUCAAAUAUCCAACGAAUCACAUGUUUUGUAUAGGAAUUUGUGCAGACCCACGAAAAUAAAUGAAUCCACAGUAAAUUUUUAUUGCAUUUCAUGAAGAUGUAUUGUGGAAUAGCAUAAAUUGUUGACAUACGCUAGGUAAAUUUUUUUUUAUUGUAAACUACAUAUAAAUUUAUGCAAAAUACUAAUGUAUGAGUCAAAAAUUAGAUAUAGUAACCAAACCUUUUUGAUUUAUAUUUUCAAUCUGGAUAAAAUUACUAAUCAGAACAAUUUAUUUAUUUGAACAUGUACCCUUAUUUUAGACCUGAUAAGUGUUGAAAAGUUGAUCAAACCUUUAAACCAUAUUCUGCUUAUGUUAAGCAGAGAUUUUUCAAGUUUCAAGACUGGACAUUUGUUGAAAGAUAUAUACAUCUUAUUAUCCAACUUGUAUGAAAAUUUAUUGAUUUAAGGGUUAGCUGUGAACAAUUUAUUUAUUUUUGUAUCGCAAUCAGCACUCUUCAGUGGAACAAGUUUCACUGACAUACACUUUGCUUCCAUCAUUUCCAUUCUAUAAAGCUCAAAUAACAUGCAGUUUUUUUUUAAUUACAAUGUAUGAAACAAUUUCCAUAGAAUAAUUUUGUAUGUAAUUGAAUGCAAAGAACAUACAAGAUGCAAAUUUGAUGACAGCCAAUUCAUAUCUGUAUUUUCUUUAUUUAAUCUGUAAAUGAGACUGAAGGUUGUAGAAACAAGAUUUUAAAGUAUAUAUUGAAAACCUUAAAAUAAGUCCCCAAUUGUAUUUUUUUCAGAAUUUAAAAUAUUGUAAAAUUUUGAAUAUUCUGGCUGUAAAUACCAUACUUUGAAAAGUACUUUUAGUCAGUUUUGGCAUUAUUGUUUAUAUUGAUAUACUCACUAGUGAACUUAGGCAGGAUGGCCAGUGUUACAACAUAUACUUUUUGUUUACUUGUAUACUUUAUAUUUGUUUGUUUUAGAUUAACAGCAUUUUCAAGAUUUGAAUUUUUUUGCCAAACAUUGUUUAGUAUGAUUUAUUUGUUGAUUUGUUUUAUUAUUUGAUUGUUUGUUUACUACCAUGUAGGGCAUUGUACUUCUUUAUUUUUAAAAAUAAAAUGUGAAAUGUAAAACCUUUUUAGGUCUAUUAUAUAUUGGCCAUAGAUUGCCUUGUUCCACUGUUUUGGACAUCUUCGCUAGCCAAGGGUUACGAUCCACUUCCCUCC
rnacentral:lncRNA from 1 species